AACCCACAUCCUCAUGGAUACUAGUCGGAUUCCUAACCCGCUGAGCCACAUCGGGAACUCCCACCAGGAGCCAUCUUGAAGAGACUAGAUCUCUAAAGUUCUCUGCUUCUGCUUCCCUUAGCAGGACUCUCGGUCCCACAAAGAGGUGGGAACCCAUGGGAAGGUGGAGAGAGAGCACCCAAAGAGCACUCCAAAGAGCCCCAGGAGCAGACCUAUCCUCCCCACGUGUGGAUUCAUUUAAAUCUUCCAGAAGCAGCAUGUGUGGAUGGAGACCGAGCCUGGGGAUUCCACAGACAAGAGGAGCCAGGAUGUG